rnacentral:rRNA from 1 species
ACUCGACUUCAUGAAGCCGGAAUCGCUAGUAAUCGCAGAUCAGCAUGCUGCGGUGAAUACGUUCCCGGGCCUUGUACACACCGCCCGUCACACCAUGGGAGUUGGUUCUACCCGACGACGGUGCGCUAACCUUUUCGGAGGCAGCCGGCCACGGUAGGAUCAGCGACUGGGGUGAAGUCGUAACAAGGUAGCCGUACUGGAAGGUGCGGCUGGAUCACCUCCUU